rnacentral:rRNA from 1 species
ACGAACGCUGGCGGCGUGCCUAAUACAUGCAAGUUGAGCGCUGAAGGUUGGUACUUGUACCAACUGGAUGAGCAGCGAACGGGUGAGUAACGCGUGGGGAAUCUGCCUUUGAGCGGGGUACAACAUUUGGAAACGAAUGCUAAUACCGCAUAAAAACUUUAAACACAAGUUUUAAGUUUGAAAGAUGCAAUUGCAUCACUCAAAGAUGAUCCCGCGUUGUAUUAGCUAGUUGGUGAGGUAAAGGCUCACCAAGGCGAUGAUACAUAGCCGACCUGAGAGGGUGAUCGGCCACAUUGGGACUGAGACACGGCCCAAACUCCUACGGGAGGCAGCAGUAGGGAAUCUUCGGCAAUGGACGAAAGUCUGACCGAGCAACGCCGCGUGAGUGAAGAAGGUUUUCGGAUCGUAAAACUCUGUUGGUAGAGAAGAACGUUGGUGAGAGUGGAAAGCUCAUCAAGUGACGGUAACUACCCAGAAAGGGACGGCUAACUACGUG